rnacentral:rRNA from 1 species
GUCGAACGCUGGCGGCGUGCCUAAUACAUGCAAGUUGAGCGCUGAAGGUUGGUACUUGUACCAACUGGAUGAGCAGCGAACGGGUGAGUAACGCGUGGGGAAUCUGCCUUUGAGCGGGGGACAACAUUUGGAAACGAAUGCUAAUACCGCAUAAAAACUUUAAACACAAGUUUUAAGUUUGAAAGAUGCAAUUGCAUCACUCAAAGAUGAUCCCGCGUUGUAUUAGCUAGUUGGUGAGGUAAAGGCUCACCAAGGCGAUGAUACAUAGCCGACCUGAGAGGGUGAUCGGCCACAUUGGGACUGAGACACGGCCCAAACUCCUACGGGAGGCAGCAGUAGGGAAUCUUCGGCAAUGGACGAAAGUCUGACCGAGCAACGCCGCGUGUGUGAAGAAGGUUUUCGGAUCGUAAAACUCUGUUGGUAGAGAAGAACGUUGGUGGGAGUGGAAAGCUCAUCAAGUGACGGUAACUACCCAGAAAGGGACGGCUAACUACAUG